CGGUCGUUCUGUAGAGAGAGACCUAGAGAGGCAGAGAAGUACAGAGAUGUCGUUACAUCCGCAAGAGCAGAAGGCAGAGCCGCUCCUUCGCUCGGCGCGACGACGGUGAAGAAACCGGCGGAACUCGAGACGCCGUUGAAAAUCGAAGCGAAGGAGAGGAGAGGGGAGCUGCAGGCUUCUCUGGCAGUGCGUCCCGCUAAAGGUUUGCGUCGUCUCUUCUCAGCCAGACAACUACGCGGAAGAGAGGGAAAAAGUAAAAAAGUGAUGAAAAAUGAGUUGAAGGAAAAAGCUUGAAUAGAGAAAAUCGGGAAAAAGCCAGAACGGCGAUUCAGACGGAAAAUGGAACGGUAGAAAACCACGGUUUUUGACCCGUUUUGUUCCUGUCCUGUGGUGUCCCUUUGCCGUGGCCCUUCGUGCCCGUGCGUCGUGUCCUGUCUCUCCGCGUUACACAUCUUCCGUCUCGCUUUGUUUCGUGCUCUUGCUGCGCGCGCCUGUCUUCGACCUCGCCUCGAGCGACUUCUCGUUUUCCGAUUCCUCUGUUUCCACGUUUUCGUCGGCCUCGGCGUCUUCAGCUUUACGGCGAGAGGCAAACGCCGUGGCGAGGAGAAGGAAUGCAAAUCCAGAGAGUGACCAGAGAAGAAUCAUCUGUCCAGCAAAUACAAACAGGGGAAACAACGCACACGACCACUCGAGUCAUGUCCGCAGAUCCUCUUUUCUCGAGUUCUCGCUUCUUUUGCAGUCGUGGGCCAUUCCGAGACACGAAGCGUGCGAGGCCCUCUCGAGUCAGCGAUUCGUGUUUUCGCCUUCGUGUCAUGCUCGUUUGUCCUCUCUUUCUGCUUACUUGAAAGGUCUCAUGAACAUAAUGGAAU
rnacentral:lncRNA from 1 species